UCUCCUGGAAAACGGGUGGUAAUGCCGGAUGCUCCAUCACACCGCAUGGUGUGUUGGGAAAGCCUUUGCGGCAUGGGAUGGGGUCGCGUCCUAUCAGCUUGAUGGCGGGGUAACGGCCCACCAUGGCUUCGACGGGUAGCCGGCCUGAGAGGGCGACCGGCCACAUUGGGACUGAGAUACGGCCCAGACUCCUACGGGAGGCAGCAGUGGGGAAUAUUGCACAAUGGGCGCAAGCCUGAUGCAGCGACGCCGCGUGAGGGAUGGAGGCCUUCGGGUUGUAAACCUCUUUUGUUAGGGAGCAAGGCACUUUGUGUUGAGUGUACCUUUCGAAUAAGCACCGGCUAACUACGUGCCAGCAGCCGCGGUAAUACGUAGGGUGCAAGCGUUAUCCGGAAUUAUUGGGCGUAAAGGGCUCGUAGGCGGUUCGUCGCGUCCGGUGUGAAAGUCCAUCGCUUAACGGUGGAUCCGCGCCGGGUACGGGCGGGCUUGAGUGCGGUAGGGGAGACUGGAAUUCCCGGUGUAACGGUGGAAUGUGUAGAUAUC
rnacentral:rRNA from 1 species